AACACGCCCGUAAACAGAACCUCU
rnacentral:snRNA from 1 species